AGGCGAUGGGGGUCUAUAAUGCAGUCGAGCGGACAGAUGGGAGCUUGCUCCCUGAUGUUAGCGGCGGACGGGUGAGUAACACGUGGGUAACCUGCCUGUAAGACUGGGAUAACUCCGGGAAACCGGGGCUAAUACCGGAUGGUUGUUUGAACCGCAUGGUUCAAACAUAAAAGGUGGCUUCGGCUACCACUUACAGAUGGACCCGCGGCGCAUUAGCUAGUUGGUGAGGUAAUGGCUCACCAAGGCAACGAUGCGUAGCCGACCUGAGAGGGUGAUCGGCCACACUGGGACUGAGACACGGCCCAGACUCCUACGGGAGGCAGCAGUAGGGAAUCUUCCGCAAUGGACGAAAGUCUGACGGAGCAACGCCGCGUGAGUGAUGAAGGUUUUCGGAUCGUAAAGCUCUGUUGUUAGGGAAGAACAAGUACCGUUCGAAUAGGGCGGUACCUUGACGGUACCUAACCAGAAAGCCACGGCUAACUACGUGCCAGCAGCCGCGGUAAUACGUAGGUGGCAAGCGUUGUCCGGAAUUAUUGGGCGUAAAGGGCUCGCAGGCGGUUUCUUAAGUCUGAUGUGAAAGCCCCCGGCUCAACCGGGGAGGGUCAUUGGAAACUGGGGAACUUGAGUGCAGAAGAGGAGAGUGGAAUUCCACGUGUAGCGGUGAAAUGCGUAGAGAUGUGGAGGAACACCAGUGGCGAAGGCGACUCUCUGGUCUGUAACUGACGCUGAGGAGCGAAAGCGUGGGGAGCGAACAGGAUUAGAUACCCUGGUAGUCCACGCCGUAAACGAUGAGUGCUAAGUGUUAGGGGGUUUCCGCCCCUUAGUGCUGCAGCUAACGCAUUAAGCACUCCGCCUGGGGAGUACGGUCGCAAGACUGAAACUCAAAGGAAUUGACGGGGGCCCGCACAAGCGGUGGAGCAUGGUGAUUUAAUUCGAAGCAACGCGAAGAAUCUUACCAGGUCUGACAUCCUCUGACAAUCCUAGAGAUAGGACGUUCCCUUCGGGGCAGAGUGACAGUUGGUGCAUGUUGUCGUCAGCUCGUGUCGUGAGAAUGUUGGAUUAAGUCCGCACGAGCGCAUCCCUGAUCUAGUUGCAGCAUCAGUGGCACUCUAAGGUGACUGCGGUGACAACGGAGGAAGGUGGGGAUGACGUCAUCAUCUGCCUUAUGACUGCUACACUGCUAAUGACGAAAUAGGCAGCAAACCGCGCAGGUAAACCGCGAGGUUAAGCCAAUCCCACAAAUCUGUUCUCAGUUCGGAUCGCAGUCUGCAACUCGACUGCGUGAAGCUGGAAUCGCUAGUAAUCGCGGAUCAGCAUGCCGCGGUGA
rnacentral:rRNA from 1 species